rnacentral:misc_RNA from 1 species
UCUCCGUUAUCCGGAGCAGUCCUCUUAGAGUUCCCCCUUGCGGGUGGCAACUAAGAGUAAGGGUUGCGCUCGUUGCGGGACUUAACCCAACAUCUCACGACACGAGCUGACGAUAGCCAUGCAGCACCUAACUACAGGUUCCCCGAAGGGCACCCCGACACUUCUGCCAGGCUCCUGCAUUUUCUAGCCAGGUAAGGUUCUUCGCGUUGCGUCGAAUUAAACCACAUGCUCCACCGCUUGUGCGGGCCCCCGUCAAUUCCUUUGAGUUUUAGCCUUGCGGCCGUACUUCCCAGGCGGGGUGCUUAAUGCGUUGGCUACGGCACCACAGGAGUCAAAGCCCGUGACACCUAGCACCCAUCGUUUACGGCGUGGACUAC